UGCGGCCAAAGAGCACAGUUUGGUCAUGGAGCCUCACCUCUGGAAUGCCCAAUGGCCGUCCUGUGCCACUUGUGCUGCA
ensembl:miRNA gga-mir-1695 gga-mir-1695